CCGCUACUCGUCAUACCCGACACGCCAGAAAAGCAAGUCAGACAACCGGCUAACACUAAAGAAGCUGACACUGACGGAGGACCAUCUGGAUCCGAAAUUAGCAUACCAGAAGCGCCAGAGAAAGCCGUGACUGACGACUCCAGGCCAUACCC